rnacentral:rRNA from 1 species
CCUACGGGAGGCAGCAGUGAGGAAUAUUGGUCAAUGGACGCAAGUCUGAACCAGCCAUGCCGCGUGCAGGAAGACGGCCCUAUGAGUUGUAAACUGCUUUUAUACGAGGAUAAACGCAGAUACGCGUACCUUUCUGUAAGUAUCUUACGAAUAAGGAUCGGCUAACUCCGUGCCAGCAGCCGCGGUAAUACGGAGGAUUCAAGCGUUAUCCGGAUUUAUUGGGUUUAAAGGGUGCGUAGGCGGUCGGAUAAGUUAGAGGUGAAAGCCCGAGGCUCAACUUUGGAAUUGCAUCUGAUACUGGUCGGCUUGAGAGGAGUUGAGGUAGGCGGAAUGUAUGGUGUAGCGGUGAAAUGCUUAGAGAUCAUACAGAACUCCGAUUGCGAAGGCAGCUUACCAAGCUACUUCUGACGUUGAGGCACGAAAGUGUGGGGAGCAAACAGGAUUAGAUACCCGGGUAGUC